ensembl:rRNA 5S_rRNA 5S ribosomal RNA
AUCUACAGCCAUACCACCCUGAACAUGCCCGAUCUUGUCUGAUCUCAGAAGCAAAGUAGGCCAACACAGAUUAUUUUCUAAUGUAUUAAUACUGGACUGUACUAC